GAAGUCCUCUGUGGCAAAGUCCACGUUUUUCAGUUUCUGCCCUCUUUUUCUCUUUUUGAUUGAGGAAAGGGGAGAAGGGUGCAGAAUACAGACAGAUUAUGGUUAUCAGGUACUCUGAAUAUGGAAGAGCCGUUUCGGAGACUGAGCAAGGCCGUUGCUACAGCCAGCAAACAAGUGUGUUUCAUUCCCACUGACAUUGCUGUGGAGAUGCAAGAGGAACACCAAAUCCUCAGACUUAUUGCAGUUUAUGGAAAAAAUGGAGCUGGGAAUUUAUAGCAGACCUGGCAAGAAUGAAUGGUGGUGUGGGAUAAACUGAAGGGAUUGUUCCCGGCGAACUCAAGGUAAGAUCAUACCUGUACCUCCAUUUCAGAGAGUAAAUUGAAGUAGAAAAAGAUAUUGUAAGGUUGAUGCAGUUAUAUGAGUACAGAUACACUUCUGUAAUGCACAGCAUGUACUAUGGGUUGUAAGGUGUUGUUGUUCUGAUAUAACUACAUCUAUAACAAUUGUGCUGGUAUAACAGUGUUAAUAAAAAAUAUUCUAACUGACA
rnacentral:lncRNA from 1 species